GAGCGGUGAUGUCGAGUGCGAGAACGCUGGGCUGAAAGAACGGAUCAAGACCGCAUUCCGGCGCAUACAGGGUGCGGUGAGACCGAUCCCGCUUUCGGCCUCCUGAGCUGAAGCCAUGAGACUGCCUUUAACUUUUCCUAGGGCUCGUGAUUAAACAAAGCACUAGCAGGCUGUGUUACGUGUUGUUACGCGGCCGUUCUAAUCUUGAGCGAAAUGUAAUUCUACUGCCUGUUGUGCUUUACUGGAUGAUCAGUAGUCCCUAGAAGUUAUCUGAAGAAUCCUCUCACUUGCACUAAAUUUGAGCUGCUGUGCUUUGCUAGAUGAUCAGGUAGGCCCGUUUUACUGCCUCUGGAACAUGAUCGAGUUGUAGCAUUCUGGACAAUUUGUAGAAGAUAUUUGAACAAUCCUCUGAUUUGCACUAAAUUUGAGCUGAUGGAGCUGCUCUGUUUGUUUAAACUUGCGUGUGUGUCGAUCAUCAGUUUGAGUUUCUGAUGUUGGUGUUCUUGUAUCUAUGCACAUCCUGUCGAGUGAGUCUUCUUUGGUGGAGUGUGUCGGCCUCCUGAGCUGAAGCCAUGAGAAUGCCUUUUAACUUUUCCUAGGGCUCGUGAUUGAACAAAGCACUAGCAGGCUGUGUUACGUGUUGUUCCACCAAAAAGCUCCAGAUUUGUUCCGUCCCCUCUCAAUCCCCAGCAGCAGGUGUGUGAUCUAAGCAUCUCAGGUGGUUCCCCGUCAGAGUGUUAG
rnacentral:lncRNA from 1 species